GGGUUUACCGCCUCCGGGCACAAUCCCCACCCUUUGUAACUGCGGCCAGGAUUCGGCGCCUGGCGGAGGACCCCCUUCGUUCGCGGAGGGCCCUCCGCCUGCCGGAAUUAGCCAACCCUGCCUAGAAAAUUGAAGUCUGAGAACAAGUUAAAUUAAACAAAACUUUCAACAACGGAUCUCUUGGUUCU
rnacentral:misc_RNA from 1 species